AAGUCGUAACAAGGUUUCCGUAGGUGAACCUGCGGAAGGAUCAUUAUUGAAUAACAGGUGGCCUGUCUGUCGCUGGCACGCAAGUGCAUGUGCACGGCAAGCUAUCCUUCCAUUACACCCCUGUGCACACCCGCGAUGGAUGUUUACAUCCUCGCCACACUUUACAAACAUUAGAAAGGAACAGAAUGUCUUUGCUUUAUGCAACUAUUACAACUUUCAGCAACGGAUCUCUUGGCUCUC
rnacentral:misc_RNA from 1 species